GUCCCUGACACUUACCUCUUUCUCUACCAUCUCUUUCUUUUCCUCUUCAGACAAUCCCUUCAAGCCAGAAAGGGAAGACUGAAAUUUUCCUCCUCUACUUCGUUUCACCUUCCUAUUGCACCGCAGCCUGGUCUUGCCCCAUGUCAAAGCCGAGAGCCAACCUUCCAGGCUGUGGGAGCCAUUAUCAUCUGUGCGUGCCUACAUUGGUCUUUGGGAUAGUAAAUGAAUUUUGAAUCCACUCUUCCUCCAACACUAUAACCCAACCACCUUGUUACUGUACUUAUUUCUUGAGCUUUGGAGCACUCGUCCCACCAUAAUUCUAAAGCAUUGCAGUAUUUGUGGAGGACAAAUACUCCUUCCUUUCAAAUUAUCAUUAGGCCAGAAGUUCCUAGAUUUGUCUGCAUAUACUCUUCAGGAGAUCUUUAGAAAAUGAUGGCAUCCAGUAUAAGCACUGCACCAACCACAUGACGACUUCUGGGAGAGACCCAGGUAUUAUCAGAGUUUCCGGGUCCAUGGAGAUGGAUCCAAGAAUGAGAACCAGUGGUCUAGGUUGGAUAGUGCAUCUCCCUUGGUUGGUUCCCUUCCCUUGGCACACCCCACCACGCCAGAUCUGGAGCUGUCUGGGGAAAGCACCUCUCUUAGUCUUACUGUAUUGGACAGACAGAAAACACAGGAAUAGCUGUUGACUUCAAUACCCAACUUUCAUCAGUAUAUCAUCCAGAUCAAAAGCAAAGAAACAGGAUUAAGCUAUAGUGCAGACAAAAUGGACCUCACACACCUCUACAGAGCAUUCCAUCCAAGAGUGCUGAAGACACAUUCUCCUCAUGAGCACAUGGGAUUUUCUCCAGGACAGACCUUAUAUUGGGCCACAAAGAAAGCCUCAGGAAAUGUUUUAAAAUGAAAUCAUUUCAUGUAUCUUCUCUGACCACAAUGGAAUAAAAUCAAAAAUCAGCAAAGGGAACUAGAUAAAUUGCCACAAACACACGGAAAUUAAACAACGUGUUCCUGAAUGAUCAAUGAGAAGAAGAAGAAAUGGAAGAAUUAGACUAUGGAAGAAUGGGGAAACAGGGGUCCACUCACACAGAAGAAAGACCAUGUGAGGACACAGUGGGAAGGUGACCAUCUGAAAGCCAAAGGGAGAGGCUUCAGAAGAAACCAAACUUGCCAAGACCUUGACUUUGAACUUCCAGCCUCUAGGACUGUGAGAAAGGAAACUUCUGUUGUUGAAGCCAACCAGUCUGCAGUAAUUUGCCAUGGCAGCCCUGGCAGAAUAAUAUAGCAAGGUGCCUACUGCCAUCCUGCUUACUAGAGAUGAUAAGGCAGGCUAGAAGUCUAAUUACUGAACAUCAGAGGCUCUUUUAUGAUCUCAUCAACCUUGACACAGGAGGUCCCUAUCAGUGAAAACACUCACACGUGUCUGUGUGGCUCAGUGUGUUUUUGGCCAAUAUACAAAGUAGAGUCACCUUCUACUAAUUUCCACCCAGACGCACAAGGAUACGGUUUUCAAGGUUGCUAGACAAGGUUCAACACUUCUCCAAAAUGUAAAGCUUGAAUAUCAAAAAAUAGUGCACACGUACAUCUAAGUAAUCCAGGAAGGCCAUGUAAAGGCAGAAACAUUUCUUGGUAAACAAGAAGCAUGGCUGAAACUGCUGAGGAACUGUCUGACUAGCUCAGGGCAACAAGCUCAGCUCACUCCCCACCUUUAGUCUAAAGGUUUUUCAUACUUAAGUAUGCUCAGCUGUAUGUGUGUAUAUGUGUGUGUGCAUAUGUGUGUGUGCGUGUGCAUGUGUGUGUGUGCAUGUGCACAUGUAUGGUGUAGGGGGAAGGUAUCAAGGCACCUCAGACAGAAGAGCGGGGGCUGCAAAUCAGUGCCUCUGAUGGAGGGUUGACUCACAAGAAAGAGGCACCUGGCUCCCCCCUGCUUUGAAAGUGGACCUGGCUUUGAUCAAUAAGCUAUUAUAAAUAUGAGGCACAGUUGUGAGAGAGAAUAAUUUCUGUUUCAGAGGAAAUGGCACAGAUGAAGGCACCACCACAGCCUUUGAAAGUCAAUACCCCCCACAGCGAGGGAGAGGCGGUAGCCUGUGUGCAAUCAUUGUGGGUUCGCCGGGCAGCAGGCAGUCUGCUGAUUACUGGAAUACGGCUGCCUCCGAACGCCUGCAGAAGCAAGCAUCUGAG
rnacentral:lncRNA from 1 species